AGACCGUGCGCGCAAGUUUGAGGAGGUCCACGGGCACCACAGCCCCGGGACAGCGCUUCUCCAGGAACUCUUGGAAGCCCUGUACGCCCAUGCUUCGUCGGCGGGCAGACGAGACGGCGGCUGCGCGAACAAGCUAGGCGACGAAGUGGAGAAGCCUCUUCCGUCCACCUCCGGGAGCCAUGUUGCCUCGUCUUCUCGAUGAACCCCCUUUCUACCACCUUCUCUACUUCAUCUUCGUGGCUGCAGCAGGAGCUAUUCUUUAUUUACAUUUCCAGAGAAUUUGGGAUUGAGCUUGAGGAGGAGGAGAUGAAAAGUCCUAGCUAUAUGCAAGCACGUGAUUUGUUCCUAAAGCCCAUCUGCAGUAUCCCUGGGUUUUGUGAAACACUGCCAUCUGAAUAAUAAAUUCCUUUUGGCUUAA